CUACGGGGGGCAGCAGUGGGGAAUAUUGCACAAUGGGCGCAAGCCUGAUGCAGCCAUGCCGCGUGUAUGAAGAAGGCCUUCGGGUUGUAAAGUACUUUCAGCGGGGAGGAAGGGAGUAAAGUUAAUACCUUUGCUCAUUGACGUUACCCGCAGAAGAAGCACCGGCUAACUCCGUGUCAGCAGCCGCGGUAAUACGGAGGGUGCAAGCGUUAAUCGGAAUUACUGGGCGUAAAGCGCACGCAGGCGGUUUGUUAAGUCAGAUGUGAAAUCCCCGGGCUCAACCUGGGAACUGCAUCUGAUACGGGCAAGCUUGAGUCUCGUAGAGGGGGGUAGAAUUCCAGGUGUAGCGGUGAAAUGCGUAGAGAUCUGGAGGAAUACCGGUGGCGAAGGCGGCCCCCUGGACGAAGACUGACGCUCAGGUGCGAAAGCGUGGGGAGCAAACAGGAUUAGAUACCCCGGUAGUC
rnacentral:rRNA from 1 species